GCGCGCGUGGCGGAAUUGGUAGACGCGCUAGCUUGAGGGGCUAGUGGGCUUCGGCCCGUGGAAGUUCAAGUCUUCUCGUGCGCACCA
rnacentral:tRNA from 1 species